UUUGCAACAUGGAUGAACCUCGAUGUCAUUAUGCUAAGUGAAACAAGCCAGACACAGCAAGAAAAAUACUGCAUGAUCUCUUAUGUGGAUUCUAAAAAAGUCAAAUACAUAGAAGCAGAGUAGAACAGUGGUUACCAGGGGUGGAGACGUAUGGAAAUGGUUAAGAUGUUGGUCAAAGGAUACAAAGUUGCAGUUCUAUAGGAUGAAUAAGUCUAGAGAUGUAAUGCAUAGCAUAACUAUAGUUAAUACUGCAUUGUGCAUUGGAAACUUGCGGAGAGUACAUUUCAUGCGCUCUCACCACUUACACAAAAUAGUAACUGUGAAGAGAUGUAUUAUGUUAAUUAGCUUGACUGUAGAAAUCAUUUCACUGUGUACAUGUAUCAAAACAUCAUGUUGUACACCUUAAAUAUAUAGUUUUUAUUUUUAAAACACUGUUUGGGAUUAAAAGCCCAGCUAAUUCUGCCUUAAUAUCUCAUUCUUAUCCACAAUGUCCACCCAUAAGAAAGACGCCCGAUACUCCGUGUAAACACACACUCCCCAUCUCCCAUACAAAUUUACCUUCUAGAGAGAGCCCUUUUCCCCAAACUCUCCUCUCAAAACACUCUGAAGCACAAGGUCUUUAGCCUAGUUAGACAUUUUCUGAAAAACUUAGUUUAACUCAGCGUAGAGACACCAUGAAUUUCAGAGACCCAGUCCUGGGCCUGCUUCAGUUGCUUUAGCCUAGAGUUUCAACUCCCAGGUCCCGGGGAGGGAUGCUCCAAGGAAGAAAUAGAGGCCCUAUUCCAGGGCUGUUUCUCGCAGACUAGCCACAGAAAAUGCAGCCCAGCGCCACUUCCUUUCAGUAGCAACACGUUUCCAACACGUUUGUUAAGCGGGAACGGAAGUGAGCGGAAAGGAAUGCGUUUGGUAAAUCCCACUUUAAGGAUUUCGUAAUCCUCCCAGGGAUUCCCACCACCCGCACUCCACUCGCAGACUGCGGGCCUUCCUCCGACGCUGGGAGAAGGACCCUGGGAGAGGCAAGGGAAGGGCUCCGGAACCAGCGCAGCAGCGGGACGCUAGCCCGCCCACACGGCGGCCACUUGAAGGUCCUCCAGGGAACACCUGAGGCAGUGGGAGCGUCUGCCCUUUCCUAAGUCUCCUUGGAAAGAAGUAUUCGCUUUCGUUUCCGCAAACAAAGCAUGCUCCGCGCUUUCAGGACCGGUGGCUCCCGUGGAGACCGCAGCGGAACCCAGUCCGCCUUCGCACGCGUCCGGGGGAGAAGCGGCCCCAGGACUAAGGGCGCGCGCCCGAGGAACCGGUGCUGUGACGACCAGAGCAAACACGCCGGAUGUUCCUGUGUAGGCUGUGUAAGGAGUGACCGGAAGUAGAAACUGGGUGCUCCAGUGGCGCAAUCGGUUAGCGCGCGGUACUUAUAUGGCAGUAUGUGUGCGAGUGAUGCCGAGGUUGUGAGUUCGAGCCUCACCUGGAGCAUUGUUUUCCAACCCAAAAUAGCAUUACUUGAAGUGCCUUUCCCCCUGUAAUCCGACUCCAUCGUCUUUAACGUGUUUGGAAUUGUGUACACAGUUUAUUGUUAUUGGUUUCCUUAGCCUUUUUAGAACCAAGCAACGCCAAUUACCAACAAAAUCCGUUGCGCCGCAGUGAGUUAGCUACCUUCUAUCUCCACUUUGUUCUGCACGUCGAUCUCAGGAGAAGCCAGCUCCCAUGUUAAGAAGUUCAAAUACCUAGAGACUGCGAUGGUUUGCAGAGGCUCAAGCUAACCACAUGGAAAGACAUGGAGAGAUAUUCCUUGCCAACCCUCAACUACUCCAACUAUUCUAAGACAUCAAACCUGUCACCCACCGGUCUGAAGAGGAGGAUGAGAGACAAAGAAAAAAGUUGUCUGGCUGCCUCUGCUGUCUACAGAUUGAAGAAGAUCCAUCCAGCUGAGCCCAGCCUAGACCAGCUGACUUCUCCAAUAAGCCUGUAUGAAAUAAAUGCUUAUUGUUAUGUGACCUUGAGCUUUGAAGAUAGUUUGUUAUGCAAUAAUUGUUGAUUCUUUCACCCUGUCUUUGUUGAACUGUUAUAGACGUCUUAAUAGGAGUUCACAAUUCAG
rnacentral:tRNA from 1 species